UAGGAGCCGUGCAGAAUGUUGGGAGAGUUCUGACUUCCAUUCCUCAUUGGUGGAAGGCAGCCCCGGGGACACUGUCUACCCUGCACCUUCUGGCAGAUGUGGCCUGCAAGGAGGCUGAGCAGGCUCCGGCAGCACCAGAAAGAGCCUCAGGAAUUGCAGGUCAGCCCUUGCCAAUUCGAUUUACUCUGAGUCAAAAACCAAGGGGUGGAUGGCAAGGAGCCCUGGUAACCACACAGCCAGCAGCAUCGGUGGAUGGGGGCUCAGACCCUGUGCCUGACAAGGAAGACGGAGCAACAAAGCAUCUAUUUACUUUCAAUUCAUUUUGACAUAUCUUUAAAUGUGUGUGGCUUUUGUAAUCAUAAAAAAUAUUCGAAUUGUUAAAAAAACAAUUAUCUCUGGGGAUAGGAUUAUAAAGGAUUUCAUAUUCUAUACAUCUGAAAACCUUUGUUUUUGAAUGAUUUGGUCCCUGAACAGUGUAUUUUUUU
rnacentral:lncRNA from 1 species